GUCAAAUCAUCAUGCCCCUUAUGACCUGGGCUACACACGUGCUACAAUGGACAGAACAAAGGGCAGCGAAACCGCGAGGUUAAGCCAAUCCCACAAAUCUGUUCUCAGUUCGGAUCGCAGUCUGCAACUCGACUGCGUGAAGUCGGAAUCGCUAGUAAUCGUGAAUCAGCAAUGUCACGGUGAAUACGUUCCCGGGUCUU
rnacentral:rRNA from 1 species